ACAAUAGAAAAUUCCGUGUCCAUGACAACCAGAAAACCCAAGGCAAUGACUGAUUUUAACCAUCUGGUUCUAACCUUGUUCUUUAAAUUCCUCUUUCCCCCAAGGGCUUACUGCUUUAUGUAAAGGGAAGACACAUGCUACACAUACAGGCAAGCAGGAAGAUAUCCAUGCUAUCUUCGGGAGGAAUGAGAUUAGUAUCUGUGUGUGAUAGAGAUGGGACAACUUCCUGCUAAAGAAACCGGAAAGUCUUCCUGCAGUCCUCACUUGAGCUCAGUCUUCAGGAUGGUGUGGCUUUUCCACUGAACCUUAAAACAUCAUUCCUUUGACUCUCUUCCUGCAGCAGACACUGGCCUUGGUAUUCCUUUCUCGUCACCUGGUCCACAGUGCAGACGAUUUUGCAUCAAGACCACUUAGAGUACAAGACAGAAUGAGAGGCAGUGUGAAGGGGCUGGGAAGAGGAGGGAGAGAGCACAGAAGAGCCCCCCAGGUGAAGAGGCAAAGCCCACAUGUCAAAUUCAUGGCAGAAAGCAGGAAGAGCAGAGGUCCCUCCUGGGAUUUAGAAGAAGCCGAGGUCCAAGGAGCUGCUGCUUCAAGCAGUUUGUCUCCUCAACUGGGAGCCAUUUGAUGUGACAGGAGACCAGGGGCCAGAGACUCUCCACAGAUGUUGGACAUCACCCAGGGAAAGAGAACGUUGGAGGAAGAGACCUAAGAAUUCCUUUGCAAAUUCUGUGGAACUGUUUGACUAUGAUUUACAUACUGUAAACCAGUAUGUAUAACUUUGAUUAAAAAUGAAAAGUCAAAUUAUAAGCAAAAUGACCUCUUAAUGUUUAUUAAGUUGGCUAGAAAGUGGAAUAAAACAUGUUUUUUACCUUUGUGAAGUUUGGAAUGUGAAAGAAAAAGUUAGAACAAAGCAAGAUACAAAUAUUCUACUAGAGGUAGAUUUCACUAUGGACUUGGAGGCACCAGUACAUUUUUUCUCUCUAGUACCCUGCAUAGCACCUGGCAGGCAGAGGUGUGUUAGUGACAGAUGAACAAAAGAAGGUAUAUUUGUGAGUGUGUUACACUGACAACAAGCAAAAAAAAACCCAGAACAUUUUACUAUGUUUACAUCAUGACAGGAAUCAAAUUCAGAAGCUAUCCCAGGAAAGGAAACAUUUAAAUGUGAAGCUGGAAGUAUAUCUAGAAUUUCUUCCAGUGGCUAAAGAUAUGGAGAAUAUUCAAAAGCAGGGAGAACAAAUUAUACGAAAAAUGAUGAGAGUAGAGUGGUAUCAACUGAUACUAUCCAUAGCAACAAUAUGCUGUGUAACAAACAACCCAGAGUUCAGAGGCAUAUAUACCAUAUCUUCUUUAUCUAUUUUUCAUCUAUUUAGAUAUCUAUGAACAUUUAGGUUGUUUCCAGCUCUGCGCUAUUGUAAAUAAUGCUGCAAUAAACAGGAU